CAGCCGCCGCGGGAAUACGUAGGUGGCAAGCGUUGUCCGGAAUUAUUGGGCGUAAAGGGCUCGCAGGCGGUUUCUUAAGUCUGAUGUGAAAGCCCCCGGCUCAACCGGGGAGGGUCAUUGGAAACUGGGAAACUUGAGUGCAGAAGAGGAGAGUGGAAUUCCACGUGUAGCGGUGAAAUGCGUAGAGAUGUGGAGGAACACCAGUGGCGAAGGCGACUCUCUGGUCUGUAACUGACGCUGAGGAGCGAAAGCGUGGGGAGCGAACAGGUUUAGAUACCCCUGUAGUCCCUGUCUCUUAUAC
rnacentral:rRNA from 1 species